rnacentral:rRNA from 1 species
GGCGGCGUGCUUAACACAUGCAAGUCGAACGGAGCCGGAGGUCAGNCGUCANAGGUCAGAAGUCUGCAAUAGAAGCAAUUGGCAAGCCAAUUGCAGACAAGAGCGGACAUCGGACUUCCGAUGACUGACUUCCAAUCAGUGGCGGACGGGUGAGUAACGCGUGGGUAACCUACCCUUUAAGCUGGGAUAACUCCGGGAAACUGGAGCUAAUACCGGAUAAGCUUACAGUAUGGCAUCAUACAGUAAGAAAAGGAGGCCUCUGGAAUAAGCUUCCGAUAAAGGAUGGACCCGCGUCCCAUUAGCUAGUUGGUGAGGUAGAGGCUCACCAAGGCGACGAUGGGUAGCCGGCCUGAGAGGGUGGACGGCCACACUGGGACUGAGACACGGCCCAGACUCCUACGGGAGGCAGCAGUGGGGAAUAUUGCGCAAUGGGGGAAAGCCUGACGCAGCAACGCCGCGUGCGGGAUGAAGGCCCUCGGUUGUAAACCGU